rnacentral:rRNA from 1 species
UGGGGGAUAUUGCACAAUGGGCGAAAGCCUGAUGCAGCGACGCCGCGUGGGGGAUGAAGGCUUUCGGGUUGUAAACCUCUUUCGCUAUCGAACAAGGCCCGCUUAGGGUGGGUUGAGGGUAGGUGGAGAAGAAGCGCCGGCUAACUACGUGCCAGCAGCCGCGGUAAUACGUAGGGCGCGAGCGUUGUCCGGAAUUAUUGGGCGUAAAGGGCUUGUAGGCGGCUUGUUGCGCCUGCUGUGAAAACGCGGGGCUUAACUUCGCGCGUGCAGUGGGUACGGGCAGGCUUUGGUUUGGUAGGGGUGAAUGGAAUUCCAGGUGUAGCGGUGGAAUGCGGAGAUAUCUGGAGGAACACCGAUGGCGAAGGGAGGUCACUGGGCCAUUACUGACGCUGAGGAGCGAAAGCAUGGGUAGCGAACAGG